GGGCCUGUAGCUCAGUUGGCUAGAGCAUCCCGAUGGCAUCGGGAAGGUCGCGGGUUCGACCCCCACCAGGUCCA
rnacentral:tRNA from 1 species